rnacentral:rRNA from 1 species
AGAGUUUGAUCAUGGCUCAGAUUGAACGCUGGCGGCAUGCUUAAUACAUGCAAGUCGAACGGUAACAGAUUCUUCGGAAUGCUGACGAGUGGCGGACGGGUGAGUAAUACAUAGGAAUCUGCCCAUGUAGUGGGGGACAACUUGGGGAAACUCAAGCUAAUACCGCAUAAUUCCUACGGGAUAAAGAGGGCCACUGCUUGCAAGCUCUUGCUACUGGAUGAGCCUAUGUCGGAUUAGUUAGUUGGUAAGGUAAUGGCUUACCAAGACAGCGAUCCGUAGCUGGUUUAAGAGGAUGAUCAGCCACACUGGGACUGAGACACGGCCCAGACUCCUACGGGAGGCAGCAGUAGGGAGUAUUGGACAAUGGGCGCAAGCCUGAUCCAGCAAUGCCGCGUGUGUGAAGAAGGCCUGCGGGUUGUAAAGCACUUUCAAUUGGGAAGAAAGAUUAUGAGUUAAUACCUUAUAAUAUUGACGU